rnacentral:rRNA from 1 species
UAUGUGAUCGUCUCUUGCAUAUCAAUAAGCGGAGGAAAAGAAACUAACAAGGAUUCCCCUAGUAACGGCGAGUGAAGCGGGAAGAGCUCAAAUUUGAAAUCUUAAAGGGUUUCCCUUUACGAAUUGUAGUUUAAAGAAGUGUUUUCUGUUGAGGUUUUGGUAAAAGUUCUUUGGAAUAGGACAUCACUAGAGGGUGAGAAUCCCGUAUUUGACCUUUACUCUCAACUUUGUGAUACACUUUCCAAAGAGUCGGAUUGUUUGGGAAUGCAGUCCAAAAUGGGUGGUAAAUUUCAUCUAAAGCUAAAUAUUGGCGAGAGACCGAUAGCGAACAAGUACCGUGAGGGAAAGGAUGAAAAGAACUUUGAAAAGAGAGUUAAACAGGUACGUGAAAUUGUCAAAAGGGAAGCGUUUGACACCAGUGUUGUUUUUCUGAAAAUCAAUUAAAGAACUGUUUAUGCUAAGUUGUUUAGACUUUAUCAGCUAUCUGCUUAGUUUUAGGCUUUUCUUUAAUGCACUUUUCAGUUAACAAGUCAACAUCAAUUUCUUUUGCUGUAAAAAAGCUUGAGGAAGGUGGCUUGAGAUUCGUCUUAAGUGUUUAUAGCCUCUUGCCUAUGCAGUCGGAGAGAUUGAGGUCUGCAGCGUAGAUCCUUCGGGGCUAAAUGCAUUUGUGCUAAGUUAUAGCAUUUUAUAGACAACUUGUUGACUAUGAUUUGUCUUGUAGCUUACUCGCUUAUGUUAUUUUACCUACGCUUAGGAUGUUGAUCUACAGAGCGAGAGU